rnacentral:rRNA from 1 species
UACGUAGGUGGCGAGCGUUGUCCGGAAUCAUUGGGCGUAAAGAGCGCGUAGGUGGCUUGUCAGGUCUGAUGUGAAAUCUUGGGGCUUAACCCCAAGCGUGCAUCGGAAACCGGCUUGCUAGAGUCUGGGAGAGGAGAGUGGAAUUCCUGGUGUAGCGGUGAAAUGCGUAGAUAUCAGGAGGAACACCGGUAGCGAAGGCGGCUCUCUGGAACAGUACUGACGCUGAGGCGCGAAAGCUAGGGGAGCGAACAGGAUUAGAUACC